rnacentral:rRNA from 1 species
AGUCGAGCGAACGGACGAGAAGCUUGCUUCUCUGAUGUUAGCGGCGGACGGGUGAGUAACACGUGGACAACCUACCUACAAGACUGGCAUAACUUCGGGAAACCGGAGCUAAUACCGGAUAAUAUUUUGAACCGCAUGGUUCAAAAGUAAAAGACGGUCUUGCUGUCACUUAUAGAUGGAUCCGCGCUGCAUUAGCUAGUUGGUAAGGUAACGGCUUACCGAGGCAACGAUGCAUAGCCGACCUGAGAGGGUGAUCGGCCACACUGGAACUGAGACACGGUCCAGACUCCUACGGGAGGCAGCAGUAGGGAAUCUUCCGCAAUGGGCGAAAGCCUGACGGAGCAACGCCGCGUGAGUGAUGAAGGUCUUCGGAUCGUAAAACUCUGUUAUUAGGGAAGAACAUAUGUGUAAGUAACUGUGCACAUCUUGACGGUACCUAGUCAGAAAGCCACGGCUAACUACGUGCCAGCAGCCGCGGUAAUACGUAGGUGGCAAGCGUUAUCCGGAAUUAUUGGGCGUAAAGCGCGCGUAGGCGGUUUUUUAAGUCUGAUGUGAAAGCCCACGGCUCAACCGUGGAGGGUCAUUGGAAACUGGAAAACUUGAGUGCAGAAGAGGAAAGUGGAAUUCCAUGUGUAGCGGUGAAAUGCGCAGAGAUAUGGAGGAACACCAGUGGCGAAGGCGACUUUCUGGUCUGUAACUGGCGCUGAUGUGCGAAAGCGUGGGGAUCAAA